rnacentral:lncRNA from 1 species
UUUGUAAUUCAGGAAGCGAUUCAGAACUAUUUUGUACCUCUGUAGUCAAUGUCUGAUGAAGGCAAAAUGUUUUUUCUUCUUUCCUAAUGAAGUUGCAACUACUGCGAUCUAUUCUUUACUUCUGCAUUCUUUCCAAGUUCUGGGAUCUGAACUGAGGUGGCAUAACUGGAAGAGGUGAAGUCAGUCACGUGCUUUCUCCUUAUACCAUUGCUUGUCAUGUUUGCAAUGAUUGUUGCUGAUAUGAUGUAUAUGACUCCUGUUUGAUUCACUUCAGAUCCAGUCUCUUGAAUUCUGCCAAUGUUACCAUCUCAGGUUCCACAGCCCUUGGCAUCUUGCCUAGCUGCUGGCUUCAACAUUCAGUACUGAGGAAAGGUGAAUCCUUUGUUCACUGACUUCCAAACUCCAACCCUCUUUCACUUUUUGUAGCCUAGAGAUCCUUAAACUAGAGUUAGUUUAAACAGUAGUAUAGGUUAUGGCAGGAAGUUUCAGGAGUGAUGCCAGGGUUGAUAUAGUAUUAUCAUCAGAGGUGAGGCUAUGGGGCACUUUAGGUAGCUCCUCUUAUAGAGGCCCUAAGAUCUUCUAAUUUCCUAGAAGAAAUUAGAAAUAAAGACGUUUAUGCAAAGCCUCUUACCCUUUGCAAUUCAACAAAUGAUCGUGUAUUUGGAAAAAUCCUGUCCAGGCCAAACAGAAUAGAUCUGUGCUGUGCUAGCCCAUGGAAGAUUCACUUGUGAACUUUACUUGAAACUUUGGCUCCUCUGCCUUUGUUUGCUGUUGCACCAUCUCACUGUUUUUGUUUGUUUGUUUGUUUGGGUUUUUUUUUUUUUGAGCCAAUAUUUGGAUAUGUUGUUUCCUCCUAUUAUAUUCUUUUCUGCUUAAUUGACUUUCUGUUUUAUAUUCAUCUUCUGUUUCAACUCUUGCAUUCUUUUCCUUGUUAUCCCCCCCCAAUUUCUUUCUCUUUUUCCUUUCAAUUUUUAAGAAAGUGUCGCUCCUUAACCACCAAAUAAAGAACAUGCAUAGAAUGAACCUAGACCUCCACACACAUACGUAACAGCUGUGUGGCUUGGUCUUUGUGUGAGUCCUGAACAACUGGAGCAUGGGUGGGGUGAAUUUGGGUGAAUUUGCUUCCUAUUGUUCUAGAACAUUUAAGUGUGCUUAAAGCUGCUAGUGUGUGCUCUAUCUAGUUUCAUUUUGGAGGCACUCAAGAGCUAUGAGUUUUCCUCUUAGGGAUGCUUUCAUUGUGUCCCAUAAGUUUGGGUUUGUUGUGGCUUCAUUUUCAUUAAACUAUAAAAAGUCUUUAAUUUCUUUCUUUAUUUCUUCCUUGACCAAGGUAUCAUUGAGUGUUGUUCAGCUUCCACAUGAAUGUUAGCUUUCUAUUAUUUAUGUUGUUAUUGAAGAUCUGCCUGAAUCUGUGGUGAUCUGAUAGGGUGCAUGGGAUAAUUUCAAUAUUUUUGUAUCUGUUGAGGCCUGUUUUGUGACCAAUUAUAUGGUCAGUUUUGGAGAAGGUAUCACAAGAUGCUAAGAAGAAGGCAUAUCCUUUUGUUUUAGGAUAAAAUGUUCUGUAGAUAUCUGUCCAAUCCAUUUGUUUCAUAACUUCUGUUAGUUUCAAUGUGUCUAUGUUUAGUUUCUGUUUGCAGGAUCUGUCCUUUGAUGAAAGUGGGGUGUUGAAGUCCCCCACUAUUAUUAUGUGAGGUGUAAUGUUUACUUUGAGUUUUAUUAUAGUUGUGGAUGCCCUUGCAUUUGGAGCAUAGAUAUUCAGAAUUGAGAGUUCAUCUUGGAAGAUUUUACCUUUGAUGAGGAUGAAGUAUCCCUUCUUGUCUUUUUUGAUAAUUUUGGGUUGGAUGUCGAUUUUAUUCGAUAUUCCAGCUUGUUUCUUCAGACCAUUUGCUUGAAAAAUUGUUUUCCAGCCUUUUACUCUGAAGUAGUGUCUGUUUUUUUUUUCCCCUAGGUGAGUUUCCUGUAAGCAGCAAAAAGUUGGGUCCUGUUUAUGUAGCCAUUCUGUUAGUCUAUGUCUUUUUAUUUUGGAAUUGAGUCCAUUGAUAUUAAGAGAUAUUAAGGAAAAGUAAUUGUUGCUUCCUGUUAUUUUUGUUGUUAGAGUGGGAUUCUGUUGUUGUGGCUGUCUUCUUUUAGGUUUGUUGGAGGAUUAGUUUCUUACUUUUUCUAGGGUGUAAUUUCCCUCCCUGUGUUGGAGUUUUCCCUUUAUUAUCAUUUGAAGGGCUGGAUUCAUGGAAAGCUAUUGUGUGAAUUUGGUUUUGUCAUGGAAUACCUUGGUUUCUCCAUGUAUGGUAAUUAAGAGUUUUGCUGGGUAUAGUAGCCUGGGCUGGCAUUUGUGUUCUCCUAGUGUCUGUAUAAGAUCUGUCCAGGAUCUUCUGGCUUUCAUAGUCUCUGGUGAGAAGUCUGGUGCAAUUCUAAUAGGUCUGCCUUUAUAAUUUAUUUGACCCUUUUCCCUUCCUGCUUUUAAUAUUCUGUCUUUAUUUAGUGCAUUUGUUGUUCUGAUUAUUAUGUGUCGGGAGGAAUUUCUUUUCUAGUCCAGUCUAUUUGGAGUUCUGUAGGCUUCUUGUAUGUUCAUGGGCCUAUCUUUCUUUAGGUUAGGGAAGUUUUCUUCUAUAAUUUUGUUGAAGAUAUUUACUGGCCUUUUAAGUUGAAAAUCUUCAUUCUCUUCUACACCUAUUAUCCUUAGGUUUGGUCUUCUCAUUGUGUCCUGGAUUUUCUGGGUGUCUUGGGUUAGGAUCUUUUUGUAUUUUGCACUUUCUUUGAUUGUUGUGUCCAUGUUCUCUAUAGAAUCUUCUCCAUCUGAGAUUCUUUCUUCCAUCUCUUGUAUUCUGUUUCUGAUGCUCACAUCUAUGGUUCCUGAUUUUUUUCCCUAGGUUUUCUAUCUCCAGAGUUGUCUCCCUUUGGGUUUUCUCCAUUGUUUCUACUUUCAUUUUUAUAUCUUGGAUGGUUUUGUUCAAUUCCAUCACCUGUUUGGUUGUGUUUUCCUGUUACUCUUUAAGGAAUUUUUGUGUUUCUUCCUUAAGGAUUUCUACCUGUUUAGCAGUGUUUUCCUGUAAUUCUUUAAGGACUUCUACCUGUUUAGUAGUGUUCUCCUGUAUUUCUUUAAGUGAGUUAUUAAUUUCCUUCUUAAAAUACUCUACCCGCAUCAUGAGAUAUGAUUUUAAAUCUGAAUGUUGCUUUUCAGUUGUGUUAGGGUGUCUAGGACUUGCUGUGGUGGGCAUACUGGGUUGUGAUGAUGUGAAGUGUUCUUAGUUUCUGUUAGUAAGAUUCUUAAGUUUGCCUUUUGCCAUCUGGUAAUCUCUGGAGUUAGAUUUUCUAGCGGUCUCUGGCUGGAGCUUGUUCCUCCUGUGAUUCUUUAGUCUCUGUCAGCACUCCUGGGAGUCCAACUCUCUCCUGAGUCCCAGUGGUCAAGCAAGAUCUCCUCUUGCAAGGAAGGUGCACAGAAGUCUGUAGCUCACAUCCACCACCUGAAUCUUGGGAUCAGAGCCCUCCCUGGAGGCCUCCUCUCCUCUGGCGGGGAAGGUGCCCAGGGUUCUGGGUCUCAGCUUUGCCUCCUUGCUGAGGAUAAAGUCCUGAAAGUACCCUCCCAAGAAAUUUUGUUGCUUCUUCUGCCCACCUGCUCACCUGCACAAACUGGUCUCAGUUAUCUCCAGAUUCUGGGUGUGCUAGGCCCUUCUGAGUUUGUACCUAAGAUGGUGCAGGGCUGGUGUCUAGAGGAAUGAACACCUGGUUCUGUUUGGGCAGGUUUUCUUUGUUCCUGUUCCUGCUGUCAUGAGACCCUCCGGGAUUUUGGAACAGAUGCUGUGUUCCAGUCACCAGUGAUCUCAAGGUUCUAGGUGUGCUAGGUUUCCUGCAGCAUGGAGUGUCCUCUGGGGACCUUGGGACUCUCUGCCGAGUUCACACCCAAGAUAAACAGCUUUUAAUAGAAUUCAUUGCAAGAAAAAUGCCUGUACUUAGCGCUUCACUUUACUGGCAUACUCUGCUUUGUGAUGACCAAGAACCCAUAAGAAUAAAAAAAUAGCUAAUUUCUCAGCAACAUUUACAUCAUGUGAGCUGUUUGUGGAUGUUCUUUUUUUUUUUUUCAUUUGUUUUUUAUGUCAUUGCUACUGUCAAUACCUAUACUUUCUUCUUUCAAAAUCUAGUCAAAAGUAUAUAUUAUUUAGAUUAUUCCAUUGACCCAUGUCUCAGUCUGUGUUGUUUCUCUGAGCAUAGUGGAGGCUGAAAUAUAUGAUGGAUUUUACACAUUUUUAGUUUCAUUUUGACUAGGUCUUUUAAAUCUUGUAAAGGCAGUUUUACAAAUGUAUCUCAUCCCAAAGUUUUCCCUUACCAUUAAAUUCCCUGGGCUGUCUAAAACUAUGCAUAAUAUUGACCCUCAUAAUAUUUUGUAUAUGUGCAUACUUACAUAGUAUUUAACUUAUGAAUUAGGCAAAAUGAGAGAUUGAUAUUUUUAUUAACAACAAAAUAAAAUUACCACAAGAAUUUCAUCCUGAGAUUAAAGUUAUAUGAAUGUGGUCUCUCUCUUUCAAAAUAUUUUGUUAUAAGUUUACCUUUUCACAAUGGAAGCACAUUUUGCUCUUUCACUCUUCUGUGCAUGUCAAAAUUACAUCACUAUUCUUGUGCUUUAAGGCCAUCAAGCAAAAAUAGGAGUUAUUUGGAUACAAGUACUGUGAUACUAUGAUAGUAAAUCUGAGAAGACUGCCAACUGACUGACAAGUGGGUAGUACAUACAAUGUGAAUACACUAGACAAAGCUAAGAGUCACAAGGAUGAAAUGAGUCAUUUUUAUCCAACUAGCUAGAACAGCAUUCAAUUCAAAAUGCAAUUGCUUCUGGUAUCUUCCAUUUAGUAUUUUCAGACUAUAAUUUGGUGCAGAAAACUGAAACUUUAGAUAAGGAGGGGAAUUACUGUUGAACCUUAAAGAACAUGAAGACUCUGAUGCAUAAAAUGGUUGUAAGUUGAUAAAUAGUUAGUUCUAGCAUCUCCAAUUCCACAACUUUACCAAUCAGAUAUUAUGUUCCAAACUAUUCCUAUGAGUUUCUUAUGCUUUGAUUUUUAAGUUCUCUGAAACUGCAAAUACAUGGGAUUUAGUGAACUUUGGUGUUCUGGGCUAAGCACAUGCUAAUCAAUGUAAAGAACAUAUUGGGAUGUUAACAAAUAUUGAAAUUUUUACAAUUGAAGUAAGAAUGCUAUAACCAGAGCUGUGACUACCAUACUG